rfam:Ixodes scapularis strain Wikel colony gcontig_1107728944972, whole genome shotgun sequence.
GCCUCGGUAGCUCCGUGGCGAGAGCGCUGGCCUACGGACCCCCAUAUGGCGGGUUCGAAUCCCGGCCGAGGUA